rnacentral:rRNA from 1 species
UACAGAGGGGGCAAGCGUUAUCCGGAAUGAUUGGGCGUAAAGCGUCCGCAGGUGGCUAUGUAAGUCUGCUGUUAAAGAGUCUAGCUCAACUAGAUAAGAGCAGUGGAAACUACAUGGCUAGAGUGCGUUCGGGGCAGAGGGAAUUCCUGGUGUAGCGGUGAAAUGCGUAGAGAUCAGGAAGAACACCGGUGGCGAAGGCGCUCUGCUAGGCCGCAACUGACACUGAGGGACGAAAGCUAGGGGAGCGAAUGGG